rnacentral:rRNA from 1 species
AGAGCGAACGCUGGCGGCAUGCCUAACACAUGCAAGUCUGACGGGCUUGGGGCAACCCAAGUCAGUGGCGGACGGGUGAGGAGCGCGUAGGAACGCAUCCAAGGGUGGGGGACAACCGCGGGAAACUGCGGCUAAUACCGCAUGGGGGCCUCGGGGGAACCUAACAAGGGAACCUGAGGCCAAAGGCUAGGAAACUAGUCGCCCAUGGAACGGCCUGCGUCCGAUUAGCUAGUUGGUGGGGUGACGGCUUACCAAGGCGACGAUCGGUAGCUGGUCUGAGAGGAUGAUCAGCCACACUGGGACUGAGACACGGCCCAGACUCCUACGGGAGGCAGCAGUGGGGAGUAUUGGACAAUGGGCGAAAGCCUGAUCCAGCAAUGCCGCGUGGGUGAAGAAGGUCUUCGGAUUGUAAAGCCCUUUCGGCGGGGACGAUGAUGACGGUACCCGCAGAAGAACGCCCCGGCUAACUUCGCGCCAGCAGCCGCGGU